AAAGUCGUAACAAGGUAGCUGUAGGUGAACCUGCAGCUGGAUCAUUUUCCGAUGAUCAAAACCAACAACCCAAACCAAAACCCGUUGCGCGGUCACCCGUUGCAACACAACAACCCACAAAACAAAAAACAAAGUUUGCCGCUCGAACACGUGGUCUCUCUCUCCGCAGACAGACCCGCGCUUUUGGAGCACGGCUUUCACAACGUGUCGCGAUGGAUGACUUGGCUUCCUAUUUCGAUGAAGAACGCAGC
rnacentral:misc_RNA from 1 species